rnacentral:rRNA from 1 species
AUUUGAAAUCUCUGGUGYAAACCAGCGAGUUGUAAUUUGGAGAAAUGUGUGUCCAGAGUAUCUUUACUAUUCAAGUCCAUUGGAACAUGGCGUACUUUUGUACUCUUAGUCAUAGAGGGUGAAAACCCCGUGGGUAAUGGUAACUGAUGCCCGAAUGUGUCCACAUUUCAAAGAGUCGGAUUGUUUGGGAUUGCAAUCCAAAAUGGGUGGUAAACUCCAUCCAAGGCUAAAUWUCUGCAAGAGACCGAUMGCGAACAAGUACCGUGAGGGAAAGAUGAAAAGAACUCUGAASAGAGAGUUCAACASUMCGUGAAAUUGCUGAAAGGGAAAUGCUUAGAAUGAUUGUUGUUUUUUAAAAGGUCAUCUYUCGGGGUGCUCCCUUUUUUUAAGCAGGUCAGCWUCAGUUUUUUUAASAAAAGACACUUUAAAGGGAGGUUUCUUUUUAUUUCGGUAAGAAGAGUUAUAACCUUUAUUUUGUACUUCUUAAAAAGACUGAGGUAUGCUACUGYUGACGGUUUUAAAAGCUUUCUUUCUUGYWAUAAGAUGGCCUUAAGGUUUCUUAAGACUUUUUGCUACAAGGAAAAAACUCUUUUAAGGCCAAAACAUGUAUUGGAUGCUGACAAAAUGAUUCUAAUCGACCCGUC